rnacentral:lncRNA from 1 species
GUCCCAUCUCAGAUGUCACCUCUUCAUAGGGCUCUUCUCUGAUCGCCCUAAUGUCCCUCAUUACUCAGGGGCACUCUUGUUCUAUCUUAUGUCCCAUUCACGCCCUUGUUUGUGCUGUAGCCUGCACGCCCCUGGCACAACAGCAGUGUGAGGAGAGCACCCUCACUCCUCUGCCCUCCUCCACUCCCCAGGGCUGGCAACAAGGCUGCACAACACAGGCUCUCAGCAAACACGUGUGCAGUGAGCAGACGGCAAGACCAGGAGGCAAGCCAGAGCCAGAUGUUCCCGGGAACAGAAUCUGGACCUUAUACAAAAGAUACAACAAAACUGGAUUUACGUGGUGAGGAGUGCAUCGUUAGGAGAUUCACCUGAUGUGAAGGAGUCAGACUGCAGAUGGCAGAAAGGGAGAGCCGUUUAGAGAACCACUGCAACACCCAAACGAGACGGAGUGCUUGUUCAUCUGAUGGUGAAUGGGCCGUGAGUUUCCGAACCUGUUGCCGUGGUAACAUGCUCAGCAAGAGCGAAAAGUGGUCGGUGACUCUUCUUUUCCUUCGCCUGCCAGAGCAGACACAGCCUUCAUCCUUCUUCAGAUGUUGUUCUGUCACCACAAAUCAUGAUGGUCAGUUCGCAAAGAGGUUGGAAAAGAAGCAGAGAAUGACAGUUGCCCGGUCAGCAUUCCUCGGCUCAUCUCAAGGCUAUGUGUAAUCUACUGAAAGCUGAUGUCACCUUCAAACUACAACGAUUGGACCCCAUGAUUUGAACAUAAAAUAAGAAAAAAAGCCUUCUAGACAUGUGAUUUCUAAUGACUUUCAUGGGCUAGUCAGCCUGUAGGAUGGCUUAGAAAGAUAAUUUAGUGAAUAGUAAUUC